AACGGCGAGUGAAGCGGCAACAGCUCAAAUUUGAAAUCUGUCUCUCGGGACCGAAUUGUAAUUUGCAGAGGAUGCUUCGGCACGGACCUUGGUCUAAGUUCCUUGGAACAGGACGUCACAGAGGGUGAGAAUCCCGUACGUGGCCGUGGUCUUCGCCAUGUGAAGCUCCUUCGACGAGUCGAGUUGUUUGGGAAUGCAGCUCUAAAUGGGAGGUAAAUUUCUUCUAAAGCUAAAUAUUGGCCAGAGACCGAUAGCGCACAAGUAGAGUGAUCGAAAGAUGAAAAGCACUUUGGAAAGAGAGUUAAAAAGUACGUGAAAUUGUUGAAAGGGAAGCGUUUGCAACCAGACUUGCCCGCGGGUGUUCAACCGGUCUUCUGGCCGGUGCACUCAUCCGCGGUCAGGCCAGCAUCAGUUUGGGCGGUCGGAUAAAGGCCUUGGGAAUGUGGCUCCCCUCGGGGAGUGUUAUAGCCCUCGGUGUAAUGCGGCCCGCCUGGACUGAGGUCCGCGCUUCGGCUAGGAUGCUGGCGUAAUGGUUGUAAGCGGCCCGUCUUGAAACACGGACCAAGGAGUCUAACAUCUAUGCGAGUGUUUGGGUGUCAAACCCGUGCGCGAAAUGAAAGUGAACGGAGGUGGGAACCUUAGGGUGCACCAUCGACCGAUCCUGAUGUCUUCGGAUGGAUUUGAGUAAGAGCAUAGCUGUUGGGACCCGAAAGAUGGUGAACUAUGCCUGAAUAGGGUGAAGCCAGAGGAAACUCUGGUGGAGGCUCGCAGCGGUUCUGACGUGCAAAUCGAUCGUCAAAUUUGGGUAUAGGGGCGAAAGACUAAUCGA
rnacentral:rRNA from 1 species